GCCGGGGUGCCCGAGCGGACUAAGGGGCUGGCCUGGAGAGCCAGUUCUCCAUGCGGGGAGCGCGGGUUCAAAUCCCGCCCCCGGCG
rnacentral:tRNA from 2 species